rnacentral:RNase_P_RNA from 1 species
CAUCUUGAGGCAGCCGCUGGGAAACCAGAGGAAAGUCCAUGCUCGCACCGCCUGCGAUGGCGGUAGUGAUUGUGCUGGUCCAAUCAAUAAGGCCAGGCAGCGUAAGCUGACGGCGGAACGGAAACCUAAAGACAUUGUCCAUGGUCUACGUCCAUAAUGUGUCACAGUGACGGAGCCGGCAGGGAAACCCGCCGGGUGGAACGCGAUAAACCCCUCAAGCGAGAAAUCCAAAUUUGGUAGGAGAAUCUCCCAAAGCGAAAUGAAGCCGAGGGAGGGGGCGAAAGCUCAGAUAAAUGGCUGCCAUGUCCGUUUACGGACAGACAGAACAUGGCUUACCGAG